CUGCUUCGCGUUUGUCCCUUCCCGGGCACCAGCCCAAGCCGGUGGGAGGGGCGGGGUCUUGUUGCCAGGCAACAGAAGCGUCCAAGGAGCGGCCGAGUGCAGCGGCGGAGCGGUGCCGUAGAAGGCCUGUUCCGACACCAUGUCUAUACCAUUCUCAAACACCCAUCACCGCAUUCCGCCGGGAUUUGCAAAUCUGCUAGAAGGACUAGCCAGAGAAGUUUUGAGGGAGCAGCCUGAAGAUAUACCAGCCUUUGCAGCCAACUAUUUUGAAGAGCUGCUGGAUAGAAGAGAAAAAACCAAGUUUGACCCAGCAGAAUGGGGGGCUAAACUAGACGACAGGUUCUACAACAACAAAGCUUUUGAGGAGGCCGUAUCUUUGCAAGAAGAGGUGAAGGAGUCGAUGAAAGAUUCAUCCCUGGAGCCCGAGCUUGACAAACACAGCCUCUAUGAAACAGCCACCCAUGAAAUAGAAGAUAAAGCUGCCACAAAAAUCCAGGCUGUCUACAGGGGAUACAGGGUAAGAGAGACAGUGAGGAGACUGAAAGAACUAGGUCAGGAUGCAACGAACCCCACGGAAGAAAUCUAAUGCCAUUAGACCUGCCAGUGUCAUGAUUUCCAGACUAGAUGCAGUCUGUUUGCAGAGCUGCUCGCUCAGUCUGUCAUCGGCACAGACUCAUUGAACUUCUCUAGCAAGUUGGUUGUGAUCUGGAUAAGAAUGCUCGUGCGAUCGUCUUGAAAGUCCCUGCCGGAGCGUCUGAAGGAGGAAGAAAAGAUAUGUAAAUGUGCACAUCUCUAGAUUAUAUUUAAUGCUCUAUUUUUAGUUUUCUUGUAUCCCUUGAGGUUGUCACAAUUUAGUACAGAUCCCUGCUUGAACGAGGGAUGUGACAUCUGCUAUCAUUACAAACCCCAUCGAUAUGGUUGGUGGUGGGGGAGGGGAGGCACUGCGGUGCUGCAGUUAACGUAUUUUACAGUCUCAAAGUAACUUCUAGCCACCUUGUUUGGAUGUGCUGGGCCUAUGCUGGGUAACACAUUUUCCAUGGCUGCUUUGUUUCGGUGACAUGCCAAAGGGGCUUCCAUUCACGUGAGUGAACUUAGCACUCGAUGGAUAAACUUAAACAUUUCUAAU